rfam:Cricetulus griseus cell line CHO-K1, whole genome shotgun sequence.
CCACACAGCAUUGUACCCAGAAUCUGUCUCCAGACAUUGCACCUGGUGCUGUUAGCUUGUGAUUAAAUAUUUUU